rnacentral:rRNA from 1 species
UACGUAGGGCGCAAGCGUUGUCCGGAAUUAUUGGGCGUAAAGAGCUCGUAGGCGGCCUGUUGCGUCCGCUGUGAAAGCCCGGGGCUCAACCCCGGGCCUGCAGUGGAUACGGGCUGGCUAGAGGCAGGCAGGGGAGAACGGAAUUCCUGGUGUAGCGGUGAAAUGCGCAGAUAUCAGGAGGAACACCGGUGGCGAAGGCGGUUCUCUGGGCCUGUACUGACGCUGAGGAGCGAAAGCGUGGGGAGCGAACAGG